rnacentral:tmRNA from 1 species
ACUAUUACUUUCUUUAUCAAAUGAUGUUAUUAAAUAAUCGUUGAUUUAUUCGACUAUAGCGAUAAACGGUCAUCACAAUAAGCUUAUCGGACCCGGGGGCGGUACCCGGCGCCUCCACCAAAGUCCAUAGUUAGUUUGUUUUAUGGACUUUGAAGGGGGCGAAAUAGGAUCGACGAGGGUGUAAAAGAUGUGCUUUUGCUCGGCAUGAUACCACCGUUAUCGGGUCUCUUAAUAGUUGCAAACGACAACUAUGCUGAGCCACAGGCCAUUGCUGCUUAAGCGAUGUCUUACGGUUCGAAUUAAGUCCUAAGCGUUAAGCAUGCUUAGGCGGGGUUCGGCAAGCACCUGGCAACAGAAGCCUGCCACA